AGCUGGGCAGUCCACCAGUCCUAUUUAAACCGAGCAGCCUCCAUGCUUGCCUAGAGCCUGCAGAGACGCCCCCCACCUUGCUUCUUCCAGCCCCACUGUGCUGGGAACUCUCAAGCUCUUGGUAUUGACACAACCUACUCAACAUGGCAGAAGAGGAGGAAGUAACCUACGAGGAAGAGGAGUAUGUGGAGGAAGAGGAAGAAGCAGCCCAGGAGGCCGAAGAGCCUGAGCCGGAGUCCCAGCCAGAGCCACCCAAACCCACACUCCCACCCCCACCACCAGCCGCCGUCCCACCCCUCCGGAGAAAGUCAUCCGCCAAUUACCGAGCCUAUGCCAUUGAGCCGCACAUUAAGAGAAAACCCAAGAUAACUGCCUCUCGCAAACUGCAGCUCAAGACACUUAUGCUCCAGGUGGCAAAGCAGGAUCUGGAGCAGGAGGAGGGGGAGCGGGCCCAGGAGAAGGAGCGGUUCCUCUCUGAGCAUUGCCCCCCCCUCACCCUGGCUGGGCUGUCCCUGGCAGAGCUGCAGGAGCUGUGCCGGGAGCUGCACGCUCGCGUGGACAGGGUGGAUGAGGAGCGCUAUGACACUGAGGUGCGCGUCAGCAAGAGCAUCAAUGAGAUUGAGGACCUGAACCAAAAGAUCUUUGACCUGCGGGGCAAGUUCAAGCGUCCGGCGUUACGGCGGGUCCGGAUCUCAGCUGAUGCCAUGAUGCAGGCGCUGCUGGGCUCCAAACACAAGGUGUCUCUGGACUUGCGGGCCAACCUCAAGCAGGUCAAGAAGGAUGACACGGAGAAGGAGAACCGGGAGGUGGGAGACUGGCGCAAGAACAUCGAUGCCCUGAGCGGCAUGGAGGGCAGGAAGAAGAAAUUUGAGACCUCUGGGGCAGGGCAGGCCUGAGCUGCACCCAUUAUUGGAACUGGAGAAGCCAAGAGAUUUCCACCCCAUCUCCAGCCAGCUCCUGACACAGAGCGCCCAGGCACUCCAUGCUGGGGCUGGAGCACUGGCAGACCCAGAGAGCUCCUGAUGAGGGUGUAGACACUGCUGUAGACCUCAUGUCCCCUGUUGAGCCCCACCAGCACACCAUCCCUCCUACCCCUGCAACCAGGAACAGCCCUGCCUUCGUAACCACCUUAUUCACAGCUGCCUGCCAAUAAAAACACUUGGAGUCUC